rnacentral:lncRNA from 1 species
AAAUUAAAUUUGUAAAUAUGGUGAAUUUUGAUUUUAUACCAAAUAUAAGCUAAUUAAAAUUUCAACCUAAAAAUCACAGCUCAAAACCAACUAUCCAAAAAUGUAAGAUCUGUGUCAUUUUUUUUUUCUACAUGUGGACUUCCAUUGUUCCAGCACUAUUUAUUGAAACGACAAAGACUAUUAUUUCUCCAUCGAAUUGCCUUUAUUCCUUUGUCAAAGAUUAGUUGACCAUAUUUGUAUGGAUCUAUUUCUGGGUUCUCUAUUCUGUUCCAUAUUUAACUUCAAAGUCCAAUUGCUUAUUACUGAUAUACAGAAAAGCAACUGAUUUAUGUUUAUUAACCUCAUAUCUUGCAACCUUGCUAUAAUUGCUUUUUAGAUCCAGGAGUUUUUGUGUUGAUUCUUUGAGAUUUUCUAUAUAGACAAUCAUGUCA